rnacentral:lncRNA from 1 species
CUGGGUGUGCUCCGGGCCCACUCGUCUCCUAUCCCGACCAGUAUGGUUUUAUAGGGCUCCAGGCUUGCUCCGCUGCAGGGCCACCCAGACGCCAAGCCUCUUCAGGCCGCGGGCAGGCCCAGGGCCGCUUGGUGCCUCUGGGGUCUGUUUGGGACUCCGGCGUGACCUCUCUGCAUCUGUGUGAGAAGCUCGUCCAGGCCCUAUCCCCAAGCACAGAAUCCGGCGAGGAGACGCGCCCCGCAGGCCUUGGCAGUCGGGUUGUCACAGGCAGACCCCCUUCCCAAGACCCGCACCCUGGUGUCCCCUUGGUCCUCUGGGAUCCCCUCUCCUGGCAACUCGGACCUUUUAAUUCUUGGUGUGCAGAUGUGGUUGGGACAGGCCACUAGGCAGACA